rnacentral:rRNA from 1 species
ACGAACGCUGGCGGCGUGCUUAACACCUGCAAGUCGAACGGAAAGGCCCCUUUGGGGGUACUCGCGUGGCGAACGGGUGAGUAACACGUGAGUAACCUGCCCUUGACUUCGGGAUAACUUCAGGAAACUGGGGCUAAUACCGGAUAGGAAUCCUUGCUGCAUGGUGGGGGUUGGAAAGCUUCGGCGGUUUUGGAUGGACUCGCGGCUUAUCAGCUUGUUGGUGGGGUAGUGGCUUACCAAGGCUUUGACGGGUAGCCGGCCUGAGAGGGCGACCGGCCACAUUGGGACUGAGAUACGGCCCAGACUCCUACGGGAGGCAGCAGUGGGGAAUAUUGCACAAUGGGCGGAAGCCUGAUGCAGCAACGCCGCGUGCGGGAUGACGGCCUUCGGGUUGUAAACCGCGUUCAGCAGGGGCGAAGCUUGUGGUGACGGUACCUGCAGAAGAAGCACCGGCUAACUACGUG